GACGAACGCUGGCGGCGUGCUUAACACAUGCAAGUCGAACGGGCCUUGUCCCCUUUUUUUUUGGGGGUGGGGUUAGUGGCGAACGGGUGAGUAACACGUGAGUAACCUGCCCCUCACUUCUGGAUAACCGCUUGAAAGGGUGGCUAAUACGGGGUGUUCUGGCCUGCUCGCAUGGGUGGGUUUGGAAAGAUUCGACCGGUUUUGGUUGUUUUGGUGGGGGAUGGGCUCGCGGCCUAUCAGCUUGUUGGUGGGGUGAUGGCCUGCCAAGGCUUUGACGGGUGGCCGGGCUGGGCGGGUGGGCGGUCACAGUGGGACUGAGGCCCGGGCCGGACUCCUAGAGGGGGCAGAAGUGGGGAAUAUGGCACAGGGGGGGCAAGCCUGAAGAGGGGGGCCGGGGGGGGGGGGGGGGGCCUGUGGGUGGUGAACCCCUUUCGGCUGUGAAAAAGGUCCUCCUUUUUGGGGGGGGGUUGGAGGGAGGUGGGUUAAGAAAGCCCCGGUAAAUUCGGG
rnacentral:rRNA from 1 species